AGUAUUUUAGGGUUAUCACAUGGCAGAGUGUAACAAGCUAGCUCUAACAAUGCAAGCUGUUGGAUAUGUAUAGCCAGGGAUGGUCGCUUAGCCAAACACUGGACCGCGGAGACUGCUGGGCACUAAUUUGCUGGUAAAAGCCUGGCAGAGCAUAGUGCAUGAAUCAUGGCUGUGCUUGCCUCUGAUAUUUGCCUGAGCCACCCUGCCGAGGAAAUUGCUCCUUACCUCAAAGCACCAACAAAUUGAGAGACAACCCUGCUUACCCUAAAAUAAAGGUGUGAUGUUCAUGUAAUGGGGGCACUGAUGUCAUCACCACUCCCCUGAUGGACCCCUCUGCUGCGUUUAUUGAGCCCUAAUAUGGCUGUUGGGUUGUACACCAAUGGGACAUGAAUAUAUAACAAUUCUCAAUUCUAUGCUAAUAUUGUAAAAUGGUGCAUUUUACCUUUAAUCAGGAAUGUGAUUGUUUGUUAGUUUUUUGUUCUUGUUUUUUUGUUUUUGUUCUAAUUUUACAGGCCAUGUAUAUUGGGUGUGAAUAAUAAAGGUACCUUUACAGUGUUUUACAUGGACUUUUAAUGUUGAAAUUAUUAUCAAAGUAAUGUUGUAUACCCAUCUGAAUCAUGAUACUUGCAUACAUGUAACACAUCAAAUGGUGACCCACAUCUGUAACAUCACUCAGGCCAGGCUAUUGAUGAUGACUACAUUGACUCUGCCCUCAGGACCUGCCUUAUAAAGAUGUUGCUUUAUUUUGACCAUUUUUGGUAUUCAAUAGAUCUUGGUUUUCGUGAACAUUCUGUUUUUGUUCAGUCAGGAAAUAUUCCAUCAGAUAAAAGUGCUUUGGGUGCCCCUGACCUAUCAGUGUUUUAGAACAGAGAGUUUAAAAAGGAGCAACAGCCCCCUCAUUACCCCCCCAUUAUGCACUUGACACAAAACGGACUAUCGGAGGCACUCAGGUAGUUUUUAUUUGUUUGUGAAUGUCAUUCAGACCUCAGAUGAUGGGGUUUGAGUAUUUUGUUGUGAACACUUUUCAGAGCAACAAUUGAAAGCUUUUUGCUCUGAUUCAAUUCUAACAAUGUUUGCCUUGAACUAGGCUGUUCCUCUGUGGAGGUGGCUAGAAAGCGAUGGUAGCUUUUGCUCUCUUUCCCAAACCAGUCUUUUGCCUUCUGCACUUUUCCUGGUGUUGUUUUCACUGUUCUGCCUCCCUCUCUUCUGCUGUUGCUGCCCCAGUUGGAUAAGCACCUCAGCCUCUGAGUGCUGACGUAAACAAAGGCCCAGCUCCAUGCAACCCCCCACUCUUCCUCCACAGCUUUUAGAAUGUGCAAAGGGAGAGCAAGCAUAGAGUGGUAGCCAGUGAGAAAAACAGAGACAUGUUUGCUGGUUGUGAGACAUUUGUGAUGGGUUAGUUUAAUCGAAGGAGGAGGCACAGAAUUGUAACGGGAGGGCAAGAAGUCUUUGUUGUGUCAUGGCCUUUUGUUCUCUUAUUUCACAGACCAGACAGUAUAUUGCCCACUGUCUCUCUCUCUCUCUCUCUCUCUCUCUCUCUCUCUCUCUCUCUGUGUAUGUGUGUUUGAGCAUGACAGCAGCACAUUUAGAGGGGAGAGAGCAACAGACCAAGAGAUAGAAAAACAACACACCAAUAAUAGUUAAUGGUCCCUGCAGCCUGUGAUUCAUCAUGGAAUUUAUUUAGAUUUGUUUUGUGUACAGCAUUUCCUAAUUUAACUGCGUUCGAUUGCCCUGCUCCUCUGGGCUUUUAUGACUCAACAUGGUGCAGAAUGUGCGACUCACUUCCUGAAACAUGGAUGUCUAGAGAUCAGCAUCCAAUAACCCUGAG
ensembl:lncRNA